ensembl:snoRNA Gm25921 small nucleolar RNA SNORA70
CUGAAGCCAAUUAAACCAACCAGGUUUCUUUCCUCUUGGGGACCUGGAGUGAAAUGGUUGCAGACAUCAGCCUUUUUGGGCUUAUGUGUGUAGCUUAUAACCUCUAUGGGCUGCCCUAAGGGAACUUAGUAACAAAU